rnacentral:rRNA from 1 species
UGGGGAAUAUUGCACAAUGGAGGGAACUCUGAUGCAGCGACGCCGCGUGAACGAAGAAGGCUUUCGAGUCGUAAAGUUCUUUUAUAUGGGAAGAUAAUGACGGUACCAUAAGAAAAAGCCCCGGCUAACUACGUGCCAGCAGCCGCGGUAAUACGUAGGGGGCUAGCGUUGUCCGGAAUCACUGGGCGUAAAGGGUUCGCAGGCGGAAAUGCAAGUCAGGUGUAAAAGGCAGUAGCUUAACUACUGUAAGCAUUUGAAACUGCAUAUCUUGAGAAGAGUGGAGGUAAGUGGAAUUUUUAGUGUAGCGGUGAAAUGCGUAGAUAUUAAAAGGAAUACCGGUGGCGAAGGCGACUUACUGGGCUCAUUCUGACGCUGAGGAACGAAAGCGUGGGUAGCAAACAGG